CAGCUCUCCGAGUAGUGUGGACGUUUAUUGGGCCUAAAGCAUCCGUAGCUUGCUAGAUAAGUCCUCUGUUAAAUCCACCGAUUCAAUCGUUGGAUUGCGGGGGAUACUGUUUGGCUAGGGGACGGGAGAGGUCGACGGUAUUUCCGGGGUAGGGGUGAAAUCCUAUAAUCCCGGGAGGACCACCAGUGGCGGAGGCUGUCGACUAGAACGCGCCCGACGGUGAGGGAUGAAAGCUGGGGGAGCGAACCGGAUUAGAUACCCGAGUAGUCC
rnacentral:rRNA from 1 species